rnacentral:rRNA from 1 species
GACGUAGGAGACGAGCGUUAUUCGGAUUUACUGGGCGUAAAGCGCGUGCAGGCGGUUUGGUAAGUUGGAUGUGAAAGCUCCCGGCUCAACUGGGAGAGGUCGUUCAAAACUGCCAGACUAGAGAAUAGGAGAGGGAGGUGGAAUUCCGGGUGUAGUGGUGAAAUGCGUAGAUAUCCGGAGGAACACCAGUGGCGAAGGCGACCUCCUGGCCUAUUUCCGACGCUCAGACGCGAAAGCUAGGAUAGCAAACGGGAUUAGAUACCCCUGUAGUCCCUGAG